UUCUUCAGUCUUCUUCUUCAACGGUACCAAAUUUCUCCACCAAACACGCUCCCAAUUUGUCACCGUUCAAUCGCCGGGAAAUUCGCCGGAACCAUUCAAAAAAUUCGUCGUUGAUCUGUUUUCACCUUAUCUAUAUACUAAGCUUCCGAUCAUCCAUUUCCUCUUCGGUUCUUAUUCCUCCGUUAAUAAGAAUCCGCUCGUUCUUCUCUGCCUUUGGAUUUCUCUAUUUAAGUUUAUUUCUAUUUUUUCCCCAAAUCCAAUUUCUGAAACCCUAAUUUCCGAUUUCCCAAAGCUUCUAGCUUUCGCUUUUCUAUGGCCCAUUUCAAGUAAAUUCAUACAUGGGCCUAUUAUGAAUAUCUAGGGCUUUGGGAAGUUUUAAUUUGGUUUUGUUCUUUUUUUAUUUGUACAGUUUCGAUCUGUGAAGAGGAACACAGAUUGUAUGUAAAGAUGGGUUUGUGAAAAUCUUGGUAAAUUAUCUUUUGUUUUUUAGGGGUUUAUAUUUUUCAGGUUGAUUUGAUUUUUUUGGAAUUUAGGGUUUGAAAAUUUUGGAUUAGUGGAAAGAUGUCUUCAGCUGGGGUGAUUGCGAUUAGUCCUAUGUGCAAAGAAUCUAUGAUGAUUCCUGCAGAUUUCCAUAGCCAAGAAUCAAUUUUGAUAUACGUGGCUAUGUCAGGGUCAAUGGUACCAAUGAGGGUUUUGGAAUAUGAUUCAAUUGACUCUGUGAAGCUUCAGAUUCAGACCUGUAAAGGGUUUGUCGUGAAAAAUCAAAAAUUGGUGUGUGGUGGCCGAGAAUUGGCCAGAAGCAAUUCCCUCAUUAGGGAUUAUGGAGUUGGUGAUGGGAAUGUUCUCCAUUUGGUCCUUAGGUUAUCAGAUCUUCAGGUCAUCAAUGUGAAAACUUCUUCUGGUGAAGAGUUUACCUUUAAUGUGGAUAGGAGCAGGGAUGUCGGAUAUGUGAAACGUCAAAUUGCUAAGAAAAAGAAGGGUGCUUUAGGAGAUAUCGAUGAGCAAGAAGUGCUUUGCAAUGGUGAAAGACUUGAAGAUCAGAGGCUUAUACAUGAUAUCUGCAAGAACAAUGAUGCUGUGAUUCAUUUGUUUGUGAGAAAAUCUGCAAAGAUUAGAGCAAGACCAGUGGAGAAGAAUUUUGAGCUGUCUAUUGUGGCACCACAACUGAAUGAUGACAAGGCUACGGAGAGCAGUAGUGGGAAUGAAAUACUAGAUAAUAAGCUUUCGGUCCCUAAGGAGCCUCCUGAUAGGGCAAGUAUUUUGGAACCUAUCAUUGUUAACCCAAAGAUUGAAGUGCCUUUGGUGAUUAGUGAUUUGAUUGGCUCUACACUUGAAGGGUUAGAUAGAGGACAUUAUCCUAUUAGAUCCUCCGAAGGCACAGGAGGAGCCUACUUUAUGCUUGAUGCAGCAGGGAUUAAGUACGUUUCGGUGUUUAAACCAAUUGAUGAGGAGCCUAUGGCUGUGAAUAACCCACGAGGGCUGCCUUUGUCAGUUAAUGGCGAGGGCUUGAAGAAAGGAACAAGAGUUGGAGAAGGUGCUUUGAGGGAAUGUGCUGCUUACCUUUUGGAUCAUCCAAAAAGCGGUAGGCGUUCAUUUUCUGGUGAGGCACUGGGCUUUGCUGGUGUUCCACCAACUCUCUUUGUGAGGUGUCUCCACAGCGGAUUCAAUCACCCAGAUGGUAUCACCCCUAAGAUUGGCUCCUUGCAAAAGUUCAUGGAGAACAAUGGAAGUUGUGAGGAUAUGGGUCCCNAGGAAGUUGUGAGGAUAUAGGUCCCAGUGCUUUUCCUGUGGGGGAAGUGCAUAAGAUUGCAGUGCUUGAUAUGAGGAUGGCAAAUGCAGAUAGGCAUGCAGGGAAUAUUUUAAUGAGCAAAGGUGAAGAUGGGCAGAUUGUCCUCAUUCCAAUUGAUCAUGGUUACUGCUUGCCUGACAGUUUUGAAGAUGUCACUUUUGACUGGCUUUAUUGGCCACAAGCUCGUCAGCCUUUUAGCUCCGAAACCAUUGAGUACAUAAAAUCACUCGAUGCGGAAGAAGACAUUGCCUUGUUGAAGUUUUACGGGUGGGACAUGCCUUUGGAAAGUGCCCGCACACUCCGCAUCUCCACUAUGCUUUUGAAGAAAGGUGCAGAGAGGGGCCUCACGGCAUUUACCAUUGGGAACAUCAUGUGCAGAGAAACCUUGAACAAGGAAUCUGUGAUUGAGGAGAUUGUUCAAGAAGCACUGGAAUCUGUGCUUCCUGGCUCAAGUGAAGAUGCAUUCCUUGAGACCGUCUCGCAUGUAAUGGAUCGCCUCUUUGAUGAGAUUUCCUAUUGAUAUUUCACUGAAGAAUUGGUACAUAGGUGUACAUAGGAGAGUCUGCGGACACCUAUUGUCUGCAUGCAUCAACUUAAAGAGAAUAUCCUGAUUCAUUGCUUUCAAUUCAUUUUCGCAGUUAACCAAGUUCUUUAUCUCGGUGUCAAUUCUCAAAAUACUGUAAAGUUUGUUCAUCUUUUUUUAUGCUGGAUUAAGUUGAAGACACAAUAUCCUUUUCCUUAAAUAAUAGUUUACGUUCUUGUAUACUUAUUAAAUAUGUUUGCAGGAGCCAAGGCUGUUGACAUUGUUGGUUAAGCUUCAACCUAGGUAGAGGAAUAAGAAACCGAGACUCGGAUGAGUUGUGUGCUAGUUUUAGCCCUUUUGGGUGGUACAUAACUCAAGUAAUGAACAAAGCUAAGAUCUCAACAGAUCUGUUUUAUUGUACAAAGUUGUACAUUAAUUUUUUCUGAGCCCUUUGGAGUUGAAAGAUUCAAGGUGAAGUUGUACAUAACUCAAGUAAUGAACAAAGCUAAGAUCUCAACAGAUCUGUUUUAUUGUACAAAGUUGUACAUUAAUUUUUUC